rnacentral:tRNA from 1 species
AGUUGUUUGUUUGGGAAACAAUAUAUUUUGAAAGUAUAAAAUAAAUGUUCGAAUCAUUUAACAACUU